AUCUAUUCAUUACAUUCAAUAUAUAUAUUCACAGCUUUGGGACAGAUAGAUGAUCUUCUAAAGUAAGCACUUUGACAUAAUUGAUCAUUUUUCUUCACAAUAUACCUUACGUUUAUAUCAUGCUGAGAUGUGUGUUGGAUGGUAAUACAUCUCACUGUCAUACAAGUCUUGUAUUGCUUAGAAAACCCAAAUCAACAUCUACUAUGUAUUUGGAUUUUCAGCUAAUAUUCAUUCUAAGAUUCUCAUAUGGACCCAGGAGGAAGUCAGGAAAAUAAAUGAUAAAAUGAACUCAAUGUCAUAGAUAUAACUAGAAAAGGCCUUGGCUACUUCAUAUGCCUUUUUUUAUGUGUUAGCUUUUGGUUGCCAAGGCCACAGGCAAAAAAGUGUGAUUUCUGAGAAAAGGAAUACAAAAUAAAGCAUGUCCUUCCCAUUCAACAUUUCCCUUUUCUCAGGAAGAUGCUUUACAUAUUGUGCAAUAAACACAGCAUUUCCUUAAGACUGUCUCUCACCAAUUUUGAAUUAUAUUAAUUGAUAGAGAUGGAUUCGAUUGGAGCAGAAAAGUAGGUAAAAUCUUGAUCAAAGAAAUCCUUAACAAUAUACUAAAGAAAGAAGCUUGUCCAAGGGAAAAUUUAAAAGCCAGAAAUUUAAAAUGACAUCAGGUACCAGUGUCCAGGACUCCACCAAAUAUGAAGAUCUUUAUCUUUGUCUUCAUUAUGGCUCUCAUCCUAGCCAUGAUUAGAGCUGAUUCAUCUGAAGAGAAACAUCACAGGAAACGGAAAAAACAUCAUAGAGGAUAUUUUCAACAAUACCAGCCAUAUCAACAAUAUCCACUGAAUUAUCCUCCUGCGUAUCCAUUUCCUUAAAAUGCUGCUUAGUAACUACAGGACAUGAUUAGAGAGAUUUUUCACCAUGAUUUUUCCUACUCUUUCUGUUGUGUUGAAAACCAUCUUUCAAAUGAAUAAAACAAAGAAAAAAAAAUCAGUCAAGUAGUUGCACAAUACACACUUGGAAUCAAAUAUCAAUAUUUUAAAGCAUAAUAAUGAUAUUCUCUGAACUAUGUAAUUGGUUUCUACUUUCUUUUCUCUGUCAUCUA